UAUGAAAUGCCAGAUGUAAUGGGUUAUUUUGAUAAGGUAAUUAUGAAAUCUUGAUUUCUUUCAUAU